rnacentral:lncRNA from 10 species
CUCAAGAUCACACAGUCAGAAAGUAUUAGAACUGGAUUAGAAUCCAGGAAGUCUGAGCCGCAGCUGGAGCCUCCCUGCCACUACACUGGCUCCCUUCACAGUGAGCCGGCACACACGUUCCCCCACCUGACCCCACAGCAAAUGUAUGCACCAGACACAUCUCAACCACAGAUACAAACUGGGGCUCAGAAAGGUGAUGCAACCAGCCCCAUGUCACCCAGCAAACAGGUGGCAGGGCUGGGCCUGAAGCAAGGAUCCCCAGGGCUCCCUCUAUGUACCUUGCAGGACCCCUUGGAUAAAUCUUGUAAUGGUCCGGUCCAGCCAGGGUGGUGGAGGCCGGGGCUGCAGGCCUGCCUGGCCCCUCACUUGGGAGGGGGUGACAGAAGCUGUGCACUCUGGAGCUCAUGCCAUCUGGUUCUGUUUCCAUUCCCAGCCACUCCUCGGAGAGCUUCUAAAGGUCAAUCUUUUCCCCCUCAAAUUCAAGUGCCUUGGGAGGCAAGGCCCUGGCUUCCGGUCACGGAGGCGCCACCUCUGCCUGUAAGACAUUCCUCUGGUUCCCAUAACUGUGUGAUCAGGCAGAGGCACUGAGAUGGGCAUUUUCCAGUACACUGUGCCCCAGCCAAGCCACUUGGUAACACAGCCCAGAGAGCUGAGGGUCAGAGGGGACAGGGCACAUGUCCAGCAGGGUCUUGACAGGAAAGAGAUGGCACACUCAAAUCAGGUCACUAGAGGAGGGUUGAGGAAAGAGGCUGUUCACAAAGGGUGGAGGGCCCCUAAGGGAUAGCACCAGGCUAGUGAGCUUGGGGCUUCACCACUCCUGCGUCUGCGCAGGAGGGAAGGGGGCAGCCACCUCAGCCUGGAGACAGACGGCUGUAAGGAAAAGACCAGCUGACAGUGGCGGGGACUUGAGUCAGUGAAGGAAAAAGGUCAGUGCAAGAUCACCCCACAGGGAGGGAGCCAGGAACUAAGUUCCCUGACUCCAUACGCCUCCCCACUUCCCACCUUUUGCUGCUGCUCUGUACUGGGAGCCAGUCAAGGGAGUCCAGUGAUAUCACCCAGACAGGACCACCUCUCGGGGUGCGGAGCAGGAGAAAGGAGCUGAUCUGGAGGGACAAGCUGAUCUGCAGGGACAAGGAGCCGUCAGCCCAGGGCUGGAUGAGGGGCUUGCUAUCUGAAUACAAAAAGCAGCUCUGUCGGUCACACUUACUGCCUCAAAAACUUACUGUGGUUCCCCACUUCCUACAGAAUAAAGCCCAAGUUCUCCAGCCUGGCAUUCAAGGCUCUUCACACUCAGACUCCAGCCUAUUUCUCUGGCCCCACUACAGGCACUUCACAUAAUCUGCACAGAGACUCUAUAACAGUCUCUCAUCAUCAUCUCCAUUUGCCCAACAUCACACAGCUGGCAAGUGGAGCUGGAAUAUGGACCCAGGUCCCCUGGAUGCCAUCCUGCUGUGUCAUGAGCGAUAAGCACAGACUGCUGGAACACAGUCCAUUCACCAAAACUGUGCCUUCCAAACAGUAAGGGUGUCAAUAAUGGGUGGAGGGGAAAGUGUGAAGAGGAACCAGGGCAAGGAACUUGGAAGCACAGUUAAUUUGCUGCCGUUCCUGGGAUGUGACAGCAACUUGAAGCAAAGCAAUUAGGAUGAAAAAGAGGCCCCAGCUCCUUGAGGCCAAAGGAAAAUAAACAGAGCAGCCCUGUGUGUAUUCCGCCGCCAAGAGGAGCCAUUCUUCAAGGGAUGAUUAGCAUUUCUAAUCCCAGCUUCCUCCCUUCCCUUGAAAGAAAAGUGACCGGUGAGCGGCUGCUCUUUUCAGAUCCCACUCUUCCCAAGGUGGACUGCAAACUUGACAGCUCGUCACCUCCACAGAAAAGUCUUCCCUGGCCACCUGCCACAGCCCUGCCAGAAAUGAUACUCCUGUCCUCUGAAAUCUGAGAGCCUUUCUCUGUACCUUUCCUAUGGAGUUUCCUUGAUUGACUGAUCAAUUCAUUAAUGCAUUCUUUCAACAAACAUCCGUUGAGUGCCAUUCAUUCAUUCAACAAAUAUUUCUUAAGUCCCUACUAAA